rnacentral:rRNA from 1 species
UACGUAGGGUGCAAGCGUUGUCCGGAAUUAUUGGGCGUAAAGAGCUCGUAGGCGGUCUGUCGCGUCGGCUGUGAAAACUCGGGGGCUCAACCCCCGAGCCUGCAGUCGAUACGGGCAGACUAGAGUCCGGCAGGGGGAGACUGGAAUUCCUGGUGUAGCGGUGAAAUGCGCAGAUAUCAGGAGGAACACCGGUGGCGAAGGCGGCACUCUGGGGCCGGUACU